rnacentral:rRNA from 1 species
UACCGAGUUUACAACUCCCAAACCCCUGUGAACAUACCUUAUGUUGCCUCGGCGGAUCAGCCCGCGCCCCGUAAAAAGGGACGGCCCGCCGCAGGAACCCUAAACUCUGUUUUUAGUGGAACUUCUGAGUAUAAAAAACAAAUAAAUCAAAACUUUCAACAACGGAUCUCUUGGUUCUGGCAUCGAUGAAGAACGCAGCAAAAUGCGAUAAGUAAUGUGAAUUGCAGAAUUCAGUGAAUCAUCGAAUCUUUGAACGCACAUUGCGCCCGCCAGUAUUCUGGCGGGCAUGCCUGUUCGAGCGUCAUUUCAACCCUCAAGCCCAGCUUGGUGUUGGGAGCUGCAGUCCUGCUGCACUCCCCAAAUACAUUGGCGGUCACGUCGAGCUUCCAUAGCGUAGUAAUUUACAUAUCGUUACUGGUAAUCGUCGCGGCCACGCCGUUAAACCCCAACUUCUGAAUGUUGACCUCGGAUCAGGUAGGAAUACCCGCUGAACUUAAGCAU